rnacentral:rRNA from 1 species
AGGUAGCAUAAUCAUUAGUCUUUUAAUUGGGGACUGGUAUGAAUGGCUAAACGAGAAAUCAGCUUUUUUUAUUAUAUAAAUUUAAUUUAUUUUUUUAGUGAAAAAACUAAAAUUUUUCAAAAAGACGAGAAGACCCUAUAGAGUUUUAUGUGGUAAUAAAUUAAAUUAUACUAGAUUUCUACUAAUAGAAUUUUGAUUCACAAUUUGUUGGGGCGACAUUAAGAAAUGACAAACUCUUUUUUUUAAAUACUUUUAUAAAAGUAAUAUUUGAUCCUUUAAAAAAGAUCAUAAGAAAAAAUUACCUUAGGGAUAACAGCGUAAUCUUUUUUGAGAGUUCUAAUCGACAAAAAGGUUUGCGACCUCGAUGUUGGACUAAAAUUUAGGCAUGGUGCAGUAGCUUUGCUUUAGGGUCUGUUCGACCCGUAAUAUUUUACACGAUCUGAGUUCAGACCGGCGUAAGCCAGGUUGGU